GUCAGCCCGUUGCCGGGCGCUCGGCAGCGGGUCGCCAUGCAGCCGCGGCAGCUCCGCUGGGAGACUCUGGCGGCUCUGCGCACAUCAAGCAAGGGCCAGCUGAGCUACUGCCGCCACUGGCUCCAGGAUGAGGAUAUCUUGGAAGGAUGCAUGUCUCCUCUUGUGCUGUCCCCUUAUUCUGGCUGGGUCCUGGACAGAGUGAUUGGGCAAUCAGCCCAAGAAAUUGCACCCUCCAGAAGUUCAACGCCUAAAGAAUCCACUCCCUGCACAAACCAGUCAUUUUCUCUGGAGAAGAUCGCAUCUGCUAGCUGCCAGGGCUCUCCACCACUUUCAUCUACAGAGCCAAGUGAAACAAAGGGAAAUGAAGAUCUUAGUCUGCUGGAAAUGGAUCAAGAAGUCUUUCCAGCAGUUCUGCCAUCUAAAGUUACGGAAGUUGAAGGCUGCAUUCGGAUGUAUGAAGAGAUGCACAGGUUGAAAGGAAAGGAGGGGCUAAGGCAACGGCAGGAGCAGCAAGAGCAGAUGGUGAGGGCAGUGUAUGACCUGGCAAGUGAACAACUGAAGCGCUUUGAUGAACUGAAGGAGCUAAAGCAGCAUCAGGAAUACCAAGAUUUGCAAGAAGUAAUGGAGAAGAGCUCAAAGGAGGCUCAGGGACAGCAAGAGAAGUUGAAGGAAGAACACCGACACAGAGCAAAGGUAUUAAACCUAAAACUGCGCGAGGCAGAGCAGCAGAGGCAGCGUCAGGAAGAGCUGGAGCGUUUGCGUAAGGAAGAGGGCCAGGAAAGAUUGCGUCGCCUUUAUUCCAUCCAGGAGGAAGUGCUGCAGCUUAACCAGCAGAUUGAUCCCAAUUAUAGACACAAAGACUUGCCAAGAAUCGAUCUUUCUGCAUACAGUAAUCGUGGCAACCAGAUCUGUGGGCUGGUGUCAGGACUCAUCCGCACCACAAGCGAGAGAGGUUUCCCUACUCAAGUAGAUGUGGCCAAUACUGAACGAGCACUGCAAGAGAUGCGAGGGUUGAUAUCCAGCAUGCAGCAAGAAAUCGCUGCAGCUGUAGAAGAAAAAAGGAGGAGAGAUGAAGAGGAAGAGAGACAAAAGCAGAAAGAGUUACUGAAAAAAGAGCAGAUGAAGGCUCAGACUCCUGCCCCUGCACAGCAAUCAGGGGGAAAGCAGCAGAAGGAAGGACUUCAAGUUAAGGCAGAAGAAAGUACCAUGCAGUGGUACCAGCAGCUUCAAGAUGCUGCUGAGCAGUGUGUUGCUUCUUUCAGUGGAAUCAGCAACUGCAAAGACAACAAUGAGGUUAAGAAGAUAAAAACAGACUUGCAGAAAGCAGCUACAAUCCCUGUGAGCCAGAUCUCUAGAAUAGCAGGUUCUCAGCUGAGAGAGAUAUUUGACAAGAUCAAUAACCUGCUCUCUGGAAAGUCUGUUCAGAGUGGAGGGCGGACUGUAUCAGUGACUCAGCAUCCACAGGGUCUGGAUUUUGUUUACUACAAACUUGCGGAGAAAUUUGUGAAUCAAGGAGAAGAAGAAGUAGCUUCUCACCGUGAUGCAGCUUUCCCAAUUGCUGUUGUGGCCUCAGGAAUCUGGGAAAUACACCCUCGAGUUGGAGACCUCUUUUUAGCUCACCUGCACAAAAAGUGCCCCUAUUCUGUGCCGUUUUACCCUGCAUUGAAGGAGGGGACUUCUAUGGAAGAGUAUCAGAGGAUGCUUGGAUAUCAAGUUAAGGAUUCUAAGAUGGAAGAGCAAGAUCAUUUUCUUAAACGGAUGUCAGGAAUGAUUCGUCUUUAUGCUGCCAUCAUUCAACUCCGGUGGCCUUAUGGAAACAAACACGGGCUUUUUUGUUGCUUUAUAGACACAUCCUCAUGGGCUGAACCAUGGAUGGCGCUGGCUUGCUCAGAUGUUGAAUAUGGAGCCUCUGGCAGAUGUGACAGCCACACUUCUUUUCGAUUUUCUGGAGGUGUGUGGCAACGCUCUCAUGAAACAGUAUCAGGUUCAGUUCUGGAAAAUGAUGUUGCUUAUUCGAGAAGACUAUUUCCCAAGAAUUGAAGCAAUUACCAGCUCUGGACAGAUGGGCUCUUUAAUGCGUUUCAAGCAAUUCUUGGAGGAAUGUCUACAGCAGAAGGAAAUUCCAUUACCAAAGGGUGCUCUGCAGUCUUCCUUUUGGAGAUCAUAGAUCAGUUUCUAUUUCUUUCCCCCUGGAUGUCAGUGCUUUCAGACCUGGCUUCCUGUUUACAUGUAAAGGCAAAUAAAUAUAUUUUGUAUAUAGAGGAAUGAGGAGAAAAUAUUCCAUCAACCUGUUAAUGUUUAAUUCAUUAAGAUUUAUGUUGGGCAGAACAAACUCGUGUUUAAUUUGUUGCAAAUAAUUGGAAGUUAUUCUUUACUUUGGAUUUUUGUAAGUUUUUUUUUAUAGUGAAUUGUGGAAAAUUGAAGACACUUCCUUCAUAUAUUUAAAAAUGUGGAAGACAUUUUAAAUAUAGUAUCCUGAUGACCUCUGGGCUAAAGAGAUUAAAGACUUUUGGAUUGAAAAUUUGCACAGUGCUGUUCUGUUCAUGGAAGUGAACAUACCUCAUAGCUUUAUGAAGUCUUAGCAGACUAAUCAAUCUCAGAAAUUUACAGCUAGAACUUUAUUUUUGUAUUUAUUACAUGUCUUUUAUAAUUCAAUUUUAAUUAUGCUGAUGUACUUGCAUCCUGUUUGUCUCAACAACAUCUUAAAACUACAGUGAGAUUGGUAAAGGCAUUUGGCCUAGCAGUGUUGAUGCUUAUCUCUGUUGAAUGUAACUUUGCUCCAAGAGGCAGUACUCUCGAUUUAAGAGAGGUACACUCACUGUUUUAAAAGUUUGCAUGGAUAAUAGAAACUUCACGAGGGAACAGCGGAGUUCCUGAAACUACAGAAAUUCUGUGUCUGUUAUCCAUCAGAUGGAUGGAAGCUAAUAAUCCAUUUUGUUAAUACAAGAAAAAAGUGUCAAAAUGGUGCAUUCAUUCUAGCACUUUUGCUGAUGUUCUGCCGUCAUUUGAGGGGGAAAUGGUAUGCUUGGGUUACCUAAGGUGCAUUUCAUUAAGGGCUCUUUUUAUGUAAAUGGAUUUCUUCCUUAUCAAUGUUAUGGUAUUUUAUGUAUCAAGUACUGUAAUACUUUUGUACCAAUGGUGGAUUAUUCUGAGAAUAGUUCAUUCUAGAAAUCUGUUUAAAUUAUUAUUAAAGUUUAAUUUUUUUCUUUUUAA